rnacentral:sRNA from 1 species
UAUUCUGCCCCAUGGGGAAGGAUGAGAAGCUUCGACUAAGGUUCGACUCGAGCGAAGCGAGAGAACGUUGCCGCAGGCAACGGCCCGAAGGGCGAGGCGCUUUAGCGCC